GACGAACGCUGGCGGCGUGCUUAACACAUGCAAGUCGAACGGAAAGGCCUCUUUCGGGGGGUACUCGAGUGGCGAACGGGUGAGUAACACGUGAGUAACUUGCACUUGACUUUGGGAUAACUUCAGGAAACUGGGGCUAAUACCGGAUAGGAGCUCCUGCUGCAUGGUGGGGGUUGGAAAGUUUCGGCGGUUGGGGAUGGACUCGCGGCUUAUCAGCUUGUUGGUGGGGUAGUGGCUUACCAAGGCUUUGACGGGUAGCCGGCCUGAGAGGGUGACCGGCCACAUUGGGACUGAGAGACGGCACAGACUCCUACGGGAGGCAGCAGUGGGGAAUAUUGAACAAUGGGUGGAAGCCUGAUGCAGCAACGCCGUGUGCGGGAUGACGGCCUUCGGGUUGUAAACCGAUUUCGCUCAUGACGAAGCUUUGUGUGACGGUAGUGGGUAAAGAAGCACCGGCUAACUACGUG
rnacentral:rRNA from 1 species